CCUACGGGUGGCAGCAGUGGGGAAUAUUGCACAAUGGGGGGAACCCUGAUGCAGCGACGCCGCGUGAGUGAAGAAGUAUUUCGGUAUGUAAAGCUCUAUCAGCAGGGAAGAAAAUGACGGUACCUGACUAAGAAUCCCCGGCUAACUACGAGCCAGCAGCCGCGGGAAUACGUAGGGGGCAAGCGUUAUCCGGAUUUACUGGGUGGAAAGGGAGCGUAGACGGCAGCGCAAGUCUGAAGUGAAAGCCCGGGGCCCAACUGCGGGACUGCUUUGGAAACUGCCCGGCUAGAGUGCUGGAGAGGAAAGCGGAAUUCCUAGUGUAGCGGUGAAAUGCGUAGAUAUUAGGAGGAACACCAGUGGCGAAGGCGGCUUACUGGACAGUAACUGACGUUGAGGCUCGAAAGCGUGGGGAGCAAACAGGAUUAGAUACCCUAGUAGUC
rnacentral:rRNA from 1 species